rnacentral:lncRNA from 1 species
ACUCCUAUCUCCUUGGAAAUUGGCAUUGAACAAAAACUUCUUUUUUCAAAAACCUGGUGUCAUAGUAUUGGUUUCUAGCACAUCAGACAGGGAGCCCCCUUUGCUCUUUAACACUGGCAGAUACUAUGCUCUUAUGUUUGAGAAGCUCAGAUCAUCUCCACCUGCAGCCAAAAUCUUUAAGACUAGAAGGGGCUUCACCAAGACCCACCCAGCGAUCUCAGGACAGUUCCUGGAUAUCUCAGGGAAGACGUCCAGAAUACAACCUAAGAUGCGUACAAACCACCUUGAUCUGUUUCAUGGACUCAGAGCCUCCUGUUCUCGGCUUUGUGUAUAGAUAAUGUGAAUAACAACAACACUGAGAUAUCACAAAUGUAUUUGUAUUCAUGGGUAAACUGUGUGUGUACAUGUGUAUGUACAUGUGCAUGUGUAUGAGAACAUACACACGUGUAUGUGCAUAAGAGUAAAAAAAAAAAUUUCUGAAUGGAAAGAUGCAGAUUCCAGUUCUGUGUGUUGUUUUUCAUCAAGAAAUGAUUCCCUAUGCCCAUUUUCCAACUUGUGAAGUUAACUCUCCUUUAUUAAUACCCCAAAAUGCCUCCUUUAAGUUUUUGGGAGAUAACUCCAGUGGAACCAUGAAAUAACCAUGGAACUGGGGCCAUUUCCUUAUUUUUUUUUUUUUUUUUUUUUUUUUUUUUCUGAGAUGGAGUCCUGCUCUGUCACCCAGGCUGGAGUGCAGUGGUGUAAUCUCAGCUCACUCCACCUCCCAGAUUCAAGUAAUCCUCCUGCCUCAGCCUCCUGAGUAGUUGGGAUUACAGGUGCCCACCACCAUGCCUGGCUAAUUUUUGUAGAGACGGGCUUUCACCAUAUUGGUCAAGCUGGUCUCAAACUCCUGACCUUAGGUGAUCCACCUCUCUCAGCUUCCCACAGUGCUGGGAUUACAGGCGUGAGCCACCACGCCUGGCCUAUGCAUCUUGAAUCUUAUUGGAGAGUUCAAUAUCCAUUUAUGCCCCAAGUCCUCUACUUUUGGGCACCCUCUGGUGCCCAGCACUGUGCUCAGAUCAUAGAAAAUGCUAUCCCCACCCUGCUGUCAAGGCCGCAGGAAGAGCCAGCAUCAGAAGCCUAGGAGACGAUGUAGGCGGGAGAGACAAGACGCCCCCAUCUCCUUCACUUCAAGAACACGUGUCCCCCAGCAUGGAGGGCAGGAUAGAGCUGCUCAUUUCAUGUUAGCCCUUUUAUGUUUCUGUUUUGAAAUUUGAUGUUCAAAAGCUCACAGGCUGUAGUAGGCAAUCAAUCCAAAUGGAAAUGUGUAAGGGCCAGCGGACCCCUGCCACCAGGCCUGGCUAAUUUUUUGUAUUUUUAGUAGAGACGGGGUUUCGCCGUGUUAGCGAGGAUUGUCUGAUGGAUUCUCACUCUGUCACCCAGACUGGAGUGCAGUACACAAGCUCAGCUUACCUCAACCUCCAUCUCCCAGGUUCAAGCGAUUCUCCUCUUUCAGCCUCCUGAAUAGCUGAGAUUAUAGGCGCGCGCCACGAUGCCAGGCUAAUUUUUGCAUUUUUGAUUACAGGUGUGAGCCACCGUGCACGGCCUGGACCUGAGAGUGCUCUUUCUCUCUGUGCUGUACCUCCCUUGGGGAGCAGAGAGACAGCA